UUCCGGGUCGUUUCGUUUAGAGAUAACGUGCAACAGAGCAUUAAAUUAUGUAUACAUGUAUUUUAAAUAAAUUCUCUGUGUGUAAACACUAAAUAAAACUGAAAUUAAGUGAUCCGUAACAUUGCAUGACAUUACACAAAUAUUAAUUUAUUCAUAUUUUCGUUGUAAAUAUUUCUGGAUAAAUGAACAGGUUGAAAUGAAACUUAAUUCGAUUGGCGUUCAACAUCCAUGAUUCUAAAAUGGUGUACUUAGAUGAUUGCUCGCCGGGCUUUACAAUGCCUUUGAGUUUUGUCUUAAACUGGUUUGUCUUGUUCGUGUUUGUUUUCCUUCUACGAAAGUCUUACAAAGUAAACAGUCUAAGGAAAAACGUCUGGAACGGUGACUAUCAUUGUCUUAAUGAUGAUGAUGAUGAUGAUGAUGAUAUAUAUUAAACGUCUCUGUGAACAAAGAGGUUUGUGUCGAUAUAGAACAUUCCAGCACAGUAGAUUCUAAUUCUGAUGAUAAAAAACAAUGUAAAGAAGGCGAUGUGCUUCAUAUUUGAAAUAUAACUUUCAUUUUAAACUCGGAAACAUUCGGCAUGUUCCGGCAUUUACAGUGCAAGUCAGCGUCAAAAAAUGACAAUGAGAUGUGUUUAUCAACUUACCUUUUUCGUAAUAGAUUGUACCUGCAACCAAUAGUGAUCAGAAAGGACUGUUGAUAGAUGAAUUGAAUAUCUCUUUUUUGAUAAUUACAUAGAUUCUAAAUCCUGUUAUCACCAAUUUGCCUGCAUACAUAAAAAAUAACUUCUUCAGUUUUAUGUGUAAUUUACAAAAAUUGAUUAUAACGUUCUAAAUAUGCAGAAACAUUUAAAGACGUUUGCUACAGUUUUCAAACAGACAUAAUUAACUGUUUAACGGAAUUUAAAUUUAUUGAAAUUACUAGGCCUUAGAAUAUGCUAUAGCAGAAACGUAAUAAGCGAGAAAUGGCGGGGCGCCCUCUUUUAUUUCAGUUAUCUGCCUUUGAAUUUGAUGUACCGGUAUUUGCAUAUUCUAUGAACUUAAAUUCUAUCAAAUAGUUUUAAGUCUCCUAACGGAUAAACAGGAGGAUAGUUUAGGUUUUCCCUCCGUUUCUCUGUCCAUUCGUCCGUCAGUCUUUCCGUCAGUCAACAAAAACUGUAUCCCAUGAUAACGCAAAAAGUGUUGAAAAUAUUUUUUAUGAAACUUGAAAUAUGAGUAGAUUGCAGUCUAUCACUCAAAUUAUAUGUGAGAAUUUCAAUAAUCUAGCUUGACUGUUUAAAGUAUUAUGGCCCUUUUGAACUUAGAUCUAGAAAUUAUUAUUUUUUACUCAAACUUCUUCAUUUCCUAAAGGAUUUACUUCAAACUCCCACAUCAUAAUAAUAAAUUAUGAUAAGUUUCAUAAAUCUAGCGUCCAUAUUUUCAUAAUUAUCUCCCCCUUUAAACUUUAUUUUUCCAUAUUUAUUUAUGGUGUUCAAACCGGUAGGUGCCUUUUGUAUCGCUUGCAAUACUUUGAUAUUUGCUUAUUACAUCUGCUCUGUAUAAAAAUUGUUGCAAGUCUUUAAAACGCAUUUUUAACCAUUCACAAUUGCUCCAAAUGCAGUUUGUUGAUGUAAUUAUUUAGAUGUCGAAGAAGAAUAUUAUUUUACUUGAAUAUAAAAAUGUUAAAACAAAAUCAUUCAAAUUACAAACAGUAAAAUGGAACUUAUGAUUUCAUUACAAAAGUUCUUGUACCCUGAAAAUGAAUAACAACAAACUAGUACUUGUAUUAUAAAACGUAUUAUAUAUUUUUCAUAUAGAACCAAUGAACUGUAUAUAUAAAUAUAUUUAUUAUAUUCUUGUAAAUGAAAUAUUGAGAAAUAUUGAUGAAAUAAAAUGUGUAUUUUCA